AUUGAACGCUGGCGGCAGGCCUAACACAUGCAAGUCGAGCGGUAGCACAGGAGAGCUUGCUCUCUGGGUGACGAGCGGCGGACGGGUGAGUAAUGUCUGGGAAACUGCCUGAUGGAGGGGGAUAACUACUGGAAACGGUAGCUAAUACCGCAUAACGUCUUCGGACCAAAGUGGGGGACCUUCGGGCCUCACGCCAUCAGAUGUGCCCAGAUGGGAUAGCUAGUAGGUGGGGUAAUGGCUCACCUAGGCGACGAUCCCUAGCUGGUCUGAGAGGAUGACCAGCCACACUGGAACUGAGACACGGUCCAGACUCC
rnacentral:rRNA from 1 species